GUUGGUGAACCAGCGGAAGGAUCAUUACAGAGAUCAUGCCCUCGCGGGUAGACCUCCCACCCUGUGUUAUUUACCUUUGUUGCCCCGGCGCGGCGCCCUCGGGCGGCCGCCGGGGAGCCACAACUCUCAUUUACGUGUCGUCUGAGCAAAAUAUAAUAAGUUAAAACUUUCAACAACGGAUCUCUUGGUUCUG
rnacentral:misc_RNA from 1 species